rnacentral:pre_miRNA from 2 species
CUCGCAGUAUAUUUUUGUGUUUUUGUUUAUUUUAAAAAUUCAAAUCACAGGAUUAUACUGUGAG